rnacentral:siRNA from 1 species
GGAUUGGAUCUGCGCUACAACGGG